rnacentral:misc_RNA from 1 species
GAUGAAGAACGUAGCGAAAUGCGAUAAGUAAUGUGAAUUGCAGAAUUCAGUGAAUCAUCGAGUCUUUGAACGCACAUUGCGCCCCCUGGUAUUCCGGGGGGCAUGCCUGUCCGAGCGUCAUUGCUGCCCUCAAGCACGGCUUGUGUGUUGGGCCCCGUCCCCUCCCCCGGGGACGGGCCCGAAAGGCAGCGGCGGCACCGCGUCCGAUCCUCGAGCGUAUGGGGCUUUGUCACCCGCUCUGUAGGCCCGGCCGGCGCCAGCCGACACCCAACUUUUAUUUCUAAGGUUGACCUCGGAUCAGGUAGGGAUACCCGCUGAACUUAAGCAUAUCAAUAACGGAGGA